GAACUCCGUCUCGUCCAGAGCUUUGGAACGAGACCUCAAACAAACCGGCCUGCCCUGCCUGCAGACCCGCGGCCCUCUGCCUUUUCUUCCCCACCUCCACCUCCCUGGCUGACCAAUCGCGUCCAGCAGCGAGAAUCGCCCUGGCUUCGGGGCCAAGGCUGGGGAUCCACGCUCGGCCUACCAGGGCUUGCGAGCUCUCCAGCACCUGUCCCACCAUCUCUGCGGCCCAGAAAAGGAAGCAGGAGGCUUGCACCGUGCCUCCCACGUGCACUCCGUUGGGGAAUCCCGGUGAGCCCCCGGCGGUCCCUCCUCACUCACACUCUCUGCUUGGCCGCUGCGUCACAAGUGGCCACUGCACCGGCUGUGUUAAAGAUACGGCACAGGGGAAGACGGCCCCCUGUCCUCCCCAGGCGGUGGAGCAGCCGUUUGGCUUGGGACCGGCAGCUCGGUAUCGGGGCGGAAGUGCACAUUUCCCUGGUGCCACUGGGAGAGGUGGCUGUGACUGCCUUUGCCGUGGCGGCCUCUGGGGAACCACGCAGACUCCCUCGUGUUCCGGUGCUGGGUCCAGGGCCUUCCCAUGAUCCCCUUGGUUGGCAGCUGGUGGCCAUUUGGCUGCUGCUGGCCCUGGGCUGCCGCUUUCCCCCUGAGACUCCCUUCCGGGCUCGCUCCUUAGACGCGCCCCUCAAGCUCUCCUUUCUGGGUGUGAGAUGUUUGCUUUGGGACGCAGAUGAUGCAGCCAGACGUUCCCGAGGAAACAUUCGGCAGCAAGCAGGUGGGAAACCAUUUGUGCAGCUUCUCCAUCAGCCCGGGAGUCUCAGCACCUGCUUUUCAGGAAACUCCCCCGCAGUCCGCGUGAGGGCUUCGCAGCAAGUCCGCGUGGUCACGUCCCAGAACCAGAAUUCCUGGAGGAAGUAGCUCCCACCACAGACCAGAGAGCCGUGAUUUUGUUCCUUCAAGACCAUGCAGUGGUACAGCAGGUUAAAGGUGCCGCCUGCGACACCGGCAGCCCAUGUGGGCACUGGUUUAAGCGCUGGCUGCUCCACUUCUGAUCCAGUAUCCUGCUGAUGUGCCUGGGAAAACAGCCGACAAUGGCCCAAGAACUUGGGUCCCUGCACCCAUGGGGAAGAUCAGAAUGGAGUUCAGGCUUCUGGCUUUGGGCUGGCCCAGUCCCGCCCAUUUGGGAAGUGAACCAGCAGAUGGGAGAUCUCUCUCUCUCUCUCUCUCUCUCUCUCUCUCUGUAAUUCUGCCCCUCAAAUGAAUAGAUCAAUCUUAAGACGACACGGCCGACCAGAAGAGCAGGUGUCGAGGCAGCCCUGGUCCCUCCUCUUCCCUGUUCACUUCACGGGAAGCCCCUCGAGCUACCAUGAUCUGCAUUUCAAGCCUUCAUUCUCCUCCUGGGACUCUGGUUUCUGUAAAGAGCUAUGAGCUUCCUACCCACUAACGCAAGAAGCAAAAUGCGAUUUCAGAAGCUUUUAUUAAUAGUGGAGAUAAAACGUUGCAUGGCAAAACACGACAAGCUCGUGAGGAUUUCUCCCCUCCACAGAAGAAAGCCAAGGCCAUUAGCUAAGGGUGGAGAUUAAGUGAAUGAAAACAUCUACUGAAUUAUGUAGAUGGGAGCCAGUCAAUAAUGGAACACUUCCUUCCCUCUAUCACACUCCCUCCGUGCCGAGAACAUUGAAGUGCUGCUAAAAGUCUUUCUUCCCAACACUAACGAGGCCGAGAUAAUGAGGAGGCAGGCCGGGGAACUCCACCUAACUUUCCAUAACUGUUGGUAAGUUCUCAGGAAAUCACCCACAGUGUCAAGUGUAGAAGUUCCUGUAGCAAGAAGACGCUUCCACAACAAAUUGUAGGGAGGGGACUGCGGAUUGGAACGAUUUUGUACUUUGCCUAACUUGAUCCACACGCUGACAGCCAC
rnacentral:lncRNA from 1 species